UUAACCCUGCAUUUCAAUGCACUUAAAUUUUUCUGAGUCGUAAAUAUGUAUGUUGGAUGUCUGAAUGCAUCAUUCUUUUUUUAUUUGAUGGUCUUAUAAAAUAUUUUGGAACGUUAAGGUUACAUAGUUACCAGAUCAAGUAACCAGUAAAUAACAGUGUAAAAAUUGGGUUGUUUACUUCCGGUGAUGAUUAUUUUCUUAUAUGCAAUGAAAUGUAGUGUGAAAUUUUCACUGUGUCACUGGAAAGGAUUAAACUUUACACAUGCAAAGUAUUUCUUUGGUUGAAAUAAAGUGUUAACCAUGUUCUGAAGAGCAUUCUAUUGAAAAAUCUUAUAUGUGAAUUGGUCUGCAGAUGACACUUCAGCAUUAAAACAAAAGAUAUCAAGUUUUGAUGAAAAAGGAAGGAAGGAGGAAAAAUGGAUCAAAACAGACCAAAACAGACCUUCAAAUGAACUCUAAAAGGUGCAAUAAAAUUGUUUAUCAUCUUAAA